rnacentral:lncRNA from 1 species
GGGCUCUGAAUGCAUGACAUACCUUUUCUCGCUCCCUGCUCCUACUCCGUAGGAUUGCAUCGUAUUCCCCCCAGAUUUCAUCUUCAACCUGUUUGCGCUCGUGGGCCAUCAGUAUUCUGUGCCGUCUUUCUUCCAUCUGAGCACGCACAGAGCGCGCCCUCUGCAGGCAAGGGAAACACAACCGAGUGCAGCGUUAGUCUCCUGGGGCUGGGCACAGGCAGGAGCACAGGGACGGUGGGCAGCAACAGCUGCUGCUUCUGCCCUGCUCUGGAGUCUCCAAGGGCAAACGGGGCUGGCAAAUGGCUAUAGCGUACCGUUGUUGGAGGGUCCUGAGGUUUAUCCGGGCGCUCAGGGGGUGUAGGCUGUGGAUGAGCUGGAGGUGUUGGCUUCUUCAGCUCCUUCUCAGACCUCUUGUGAAUUGGUGGCUCGAAUCUAAAAAGACACAGCAGGCUGAGCUUCUGGGAGUACUCUUGGAGGCCGUUUCUAAGAGCUGGGCUCGCAGCUCACACCUUAGCUCCAGCAGCACAAGGUGCUUGUGCAGGAGGAAGACCACGUCUCCACCAGGACAACAGCUGUCCCUUUGAUGUUUCCAGUGCCUUUUGGCAUGAGCACAUGCACUGCAGCCGAGGGAAACUUCUCACUGGCACAAAAGGCUCUUGCCUUUAUGUCCCCCAGCUCCACCACAACACUCCUCCAGCUGGCUCACCUGGCUUGGUCACCUUGCUUGUUUUUAUCCUCCUUGGUUUUCUUCUCUGCCAUCUUGGCUAGAGAAACCCUCCUCCGAGCCAGCACCACCGGGUCCAGCACACUCACUGCAAGAGAACACCACGAUGUCACCUCUGUGUCUGUGCAGGGCAGCGGCAGCAGCAGAGCUGCUCAGCCGUGCCCACCCACACUCAUUGCCGACCCUAGGAGCCACCAUUCCUGGGGCAUUUUGUCCCACACAGCUGCCUUCUCUCCCAUGCCCCACACAUCAACAUUGGCUCUCCUGCGUGCGAGGACGAGAGGAGAACAUGCAACCCCCUGCCAGAAGCCCACUGGGACAUUACCUCUUCGGCCACCCUUGCCCCAAGGCUGCGGAUCUCUUUUGGGCUUGAUGGAAAUCGGAUUGCAGUGCGGGUCCUGAAGUAUAAGCCUGGAAACAGAUAGACACCACUUGUCAAAAGAGGCACUGUGUUCCCUUGGUGUCCCACACUAAGAAGCUGCUGGCAGGGUUCUUUGGGAGCUACUGCUGAGCCUUUGGAGGACACAAUGGCCUGUGCGAGCUGAGGGGCCCCACAGCCUCCAGAAGCUUCUUCCCGCGCUUCCCUCGCCUUCCUGCCAGACCCAACACAAGUCCUCCUCGCUGUCCCCUCACACCCUCCCACCACUCUCAGGGACCCUCAACUGCAGACUGGCCGCUUCAUCUGCACUGCCCAGAAGGACUGAGCAGGGGGUCAGCCUGGAAGCCCUCCCAGCAACGAGCUGGUCCUGCCUCACUUUGGCAGGAGAGAAGCACCAUGAAGGGGCUGCACCCAAAGCACGAGCUGGGCACCAGCUCCCCUGGCCAGCCAGAUGUUGCAGAAGAGAUGGCACUCACGUUGGUAGUGUGAUGAAACUAUUUCCACUGAUACGAGUAUAUUUAUUUUUGCCGUCAGAUGCAAUCAUAUCCGUCAUCUUGGAGUCCUGCAAUGGGACAGACACACGUCAGCAGAAGCCGAGGAUAUGUGCUCCUUGCUCCCAAAGGUAGCAAACGUUCCCACUGCUCAGGGACAUGGCUGCCUCUCCAAAAUCCUCGCCCCACUUUCUCCUUUGGUGUCAUUAGCCCCUCACACAAACAGGCCCAGGUGCUACCGAGAGUUUGUAUAGCUCCUCGAGCCUGUCUCACCCGAUGGCGAGGCAGGCAAGGAGAAAGCAGUUUGAGAGAGCUUUGACAGCAUUGCCAGAGCUGCCAGCAGCCCCGGAGACACGAACCACUCACCGUGAGAAGAGCUUCAUACAUGUUGUCUGUGUCAUCCACCUCCAGCAGGAACUCAGUGUAGAAGUUCAUGGUGACCACUUUUCUUCGCACAGUAAGAAUCCCGAUACCCUUGAAGAAGAAUUCCACAUCCUUUUUGUCCAGGAGGGCACCAGCGAAGAGAAGCAGG